UGUGGGUGGCGCAGUAUUCUAGUCAGCUCGGCUCAUUCCCAGGACGGGCCUAAAAAUCCGUUGAAGGGCACAUCGAUGAAGUUUCUGGUGCUUGCUUUCGACGCCCAGUCGGGGGUUGGUGCUGGGAGUUAAGGCUUAGGGGCGGUUUGCAAUGGCAUGUGAAUAACGACCCCUUUGCCGUGGAGACCUGUUCUUGUGCUCGAAAAUGCUCGGACGAAGUUUUGGCUUUUAAAGACAUAGCAGGGUACGAAGCAGGAUUAAACCUGUUUUGCGGUGUGAACUUGCCAUGGGCAAGCAAAUGCUGUGGGCAGCGUAGCCUGCCUUGAGUGGUAUUGGCGGAUAGCGGAUCAGACACGGUUCUCUCGGCCAAGAGAACUGCGUUAUCGCUGCUUGAAACCAAUGCUGCAAAAGAGGCUAAGAAUGAGUUUGACUGUUUGGGAAAACCUCUAGACUGUUCAUUUUUUGAGACGCAUCGGGGAUUGCAGUGCGGACUUAAGUGGCGAUUCGGUGACGCGCCGGGCAACCGCGCGACGGCGGCAUGAAAGGGAAACCGCUGAUUUGGCGACAUUUCAGCUGCUGCCGGGGAAAGCCUACCGAACCUAAACCGCAAAAUUAACCCGAUGCUGUUGCCACUUUAAUCAAC
rnacentral:sRNA from 1 species